AGAGUUUGAUCCUGGCUCAGGAUGAACGCUGGCGGCGUGCUUAACACAUGCAAGUCGAACGGAACACCCUUGAAGGAGUUUUCGGACAACUGAAAGGACUGUUUAGUGGCGGACGGGUGAGUAACGCGUGAGUAACCUGCCUUGGAUGGGGAAUAACAGUUGGAAACAGCUGCUAAUACCGCAUAAUGCAGUUGAGUCGCAUGGCUCUGACUGCCAAAGAUUUAUCGCUCUGAGAUGGACUCGCGUCUGAUUAGCUAGUUGGUGGGGCAACGGCCCACCAAGGCGACGAUCAGUAGCCGGACUGAGCGGUUGGCCGGCCACAUUGGGACUGAGACACGGCCCAGACUCCUACGGGAGGCAGCAGUGGGGAAUAUUGGGCAAUGGGCGCAAGCCUGACCCAGCAACGCCGCGUGAAGGAAGAAGGCUUUCGGGUUGUAAACUUCUUUUCUCAGGGACGAAGAAAGUGACGGUACCUGAGGAAUAAGCCACGGCUAACUACGUG
rnacentral:rRNA from 1 species